AAGUAAUGGGAUGUUUGCAAACAUACGUACUUCUGUGAUGUGUGUAUGUACAUACAUACACAUACACAUAGACAUACACAUAUGUAUACACACAUAUCCAUCUACUCUAGAUCUAUGCAUAUGGAACAGAAAAAAAAUGAUUUGUGUUUAUAUGGUUUCCAAUGCAAUUCUUUCUAUUUAUCUCCUUGAAAUUAAACAUAUUUUUGAUAAAUCAUUUUUAAAUCCUACUCAAAAAAUGAAGUAAUCCUAAGUGAGAGGUUUGGAAGGAUACAUUGUUAUUUAAGUAUAUGACCUAUGUGGUGAGUCUUAAGGUUCUAUACCUUUCUCAUGGUGUUAACUGGAGAGCAAGGGGCUAGACUCCCCUGGUACCAAGCACUGAUGCAAGAAACAUAAUGUGACUACACAGUGAAGCAAAUAAAAUUAGUAGGAUUUAGUGAUUUAUUGUGUUGUAGACUGACAAGCUAAUUGAGAAUUUUAUAUUUUCUACCAUUGUUUUGCAGUCACAAAAAAUUAGCCUCCAUGCCUCUUUAUCUUCAUUUAAGUUUGGAAUAUAUUGUCCCAAUAAUUAUAUUAGGUUCCCUUCUCUAUCAUGUAUCUUAUACAUGUUGAACAGUUUCUAUGUAUUACCCUUCUUCCCCAACAACAGUGCAAAGUCUUACUAUUACUUUAUCUUAAGUGAACAAAGUGAAUUUAUUAUAAAAGGAAUUUUAAAGGAGGUUCAAAAUGUCAUUUUUAGAGUAUUUAUUUGUUCAAGAGUUUAUUACACAUUUGACUUAAUAGGUUGCCAGGGCUCAUGCUUGGCACCAAGAAUAUAAAAGGCAAGACCAAAACAGACCUUGUCCUCCAGGACCAUUCCUAUUAUUGGCGGUUGGCCAUUUCUGUUUAUGUUUAGCCCAGCAUAUAAGGUUCUAGAAUAAAAUUUACAUUGUGAAUGCAAUGGAAACCAAUGGAAAAUUUCCUAAAGGAGAAGAGAUUUCUAUAACUCACCACAACUUUAGCAAGUGACUUUUAAACGAACAUUAACUGACUUGAUCUUCCACUGUCAAAGCAUCAUUAAUUGAAUGAAAACUCAAUUAGGUACUAUACUCAUGGUAAAUGGACGAACCAGAAUUUGAAGGCUUAAAGGUAGUUGAAAGAUAUGACCACUGUUCAGGUCAUUGCUUUGAGGUCCUGAAGAAUUAAAAUGUAGUGCUUCCUUAUGCUAAAGGAUCAUUUUUUCAUCUUUAACAACAAAACUGUAUGAUUUUUUGGUUCUAUUUGAUAUCCAGAUAUGCCAUAUAAACUUUUCUAUGGCAGACCUGACUACUUUAUAAAUAGUAGGAAAUGCCAUAGGUUUGUGUACUUAAUAACUAAUUUGAAAUGAGAAAAUAGGCAAGAUUAUUUUAGAAUCAUUAAUAUGUUGGUUGCUAGUCCUCAAUCAUGUAAAAGUACUGUCCAAAGUCAUGUCAAUUCAUUGCACAAUAAAAUCACUGUGAUUUGUAUAUAAACCCUAGUGAAAUGUUACUGCUGUUUAAUUUAUAUAAUGCCUGUUGAUUUCUG
rnacentral:lncRNA from 1 species